CCGAACCUGUGCACUUGAUUAAAAUUAAGCAUAGAGCAACAUCCAUUCAUCCAACAUAAACAUUAAACAGUUGACAGUAUUACAUCCAACAUCCAACAACAUGAGCAACAAGCCAACAAAUACAGCAGCAAAUUAAGUUAAUUAACUGUUACAAAUUAACUGUCCAGUAAAUUAAACAAAUUAAACCAACAAGCAACAAGCCAACAAGAAGAAGCCAACAUGACUCCAUGAGAUAUCCCAAGUUCCCAAAUCCCAACAACACCAAGUUGCUAUCAGCAACAGACAACAGGAACA
rnacentral:lncRNA from 1 species